rnacentral:lncRNA from 1 species
UGUGUGUGUGUGUGUGUGUGUGAGUGUGUGUGUGUGUGUGUGUCAGAAUGAUUAGUUUUUAUUCAAUACGGGGAAAACAAAAGCAAUACACAGUUGGCGUAAUUGACACCAGCAUACACCACAACAUAUUUUGCCCGGAAUAGUCUUGCAGAUUUUUUCACUCCUGGAAUAUAUCAUUUUUCACAAAAAUUUUCAUUUAAAAACGAUAACGACAGAAUCAUUUAGCUUAUCCAUCUUUGAUGAUCCUCAUAAUGUGACAUACAUUAGGUUUAUAACAAAUCUUAUGAUAAAGUCAUUAAAAAACAAGUUGGUAUGAUUAAAGAGCAAAAGCAAAAAAUCUAUUUCUAAUGCUCUGCAAUCAAACACCUUAUAUACAUGAAUCUGUAAGAUGCAUUUUCAAAAGCUCUACCUUCAAAAGCUCUACCUAAAAAAAACAAAUAAAAGAAGUAAAAAAACAAAUAAAAAAAGUAAAAAAAAACAAAUAAAAGAAGUAAAAAAAAAACAAAUAAAAGAAGUAAAAAAGGCAGAUCAAAGAUUCUAACUGGUUCUUCAAAAAGAGAAGAAUUUAAAAAAAGGAAAAAAAAAUGAAAAGUAUGAGAAUAUUUUAAAGCAAAAUACUUCCAAAACCAAGCUAAAACGAAAAGUACUUUAACUUAUGUUAAAUUGAGUUUAAUUUUAAAUUGAAUUUCAAUUUUCUUGAUAAUUAACACAGGUUUUAUAUGUAUAUUUUUGAAUGCACUAAAACACAGUUUUAUUUUUUUAGAAGAUAGAAUAAGUUUCCAUAAGCCCAACUUGAUCUAUUCUUGCUAGGCUACCCCACUAAAUUAUUCUUACGUCUCACCUAUUCAUAUAGUUAUUUCAUAAUAUCUUUAUUCGAAUUAUCUUUACGUCUCACUAUGACGUGUGUUUAAGAAAAAGCAGUAACGUCAAAUAAAUUAAGUAAACACUGGAAACUGUUGUUUACGUAAUUUCUAUUGGGUAAUUCAUAAGACUGAUUUCAACUUAUUUUCUUUUUUUUUUUUUUUUUUGCAUUAUUUACUGAAAUGGUUUAUUUUAAUAACUAUGUUUGAUUUCUUUAACUAGCGAGAAUAAAAUUGCUUAUCGAAAUGUAUAACUAAUUAUUUUAUUCUAUGGUUAUUAAAAUCAAGCCCACCUUAUUUUUUGAGUUAAUAUAAAUUUCUUAAACGGUGUAAACAAAUCAGCAGCAAAAAGAAAAAUAAAACGAACAAAAAGAAGUGCACACAUUAUUUCAAAUAGUUUUUUUACAUUGAUUUUAAUUAUGACUUUGCUACGAAAAAGAUUUUUUGUGUAUUCAUAUCACAAGUUAUAGAGCUGCAAAGAAAAUUUAGAAAAUUCUCCACACAAUAGUUAUAUAGACUUUGCUGUUCAAUAUCGCUGUUCAAUUUUAAACUUGUUCUGUUUUCUCGACUUAAAAAGUUAUUUAAUAUGACGGCAAAUAAAAACGUCACAGUUGCUGCAACGUGUGAGAUACCAACGUCUGAUCCUGAUUUAGCAAGUGCAAUUAUAGCGGCUGGCAGUAAAGUUUUAAACGAUAAAAAAAGAAUUGAGACCACAAAAGAAACUCAAAGAACUGAAAUUCCACAAAAGAAAAGCUGGAUAAAAAAAUUUUUUGCAAAAAAAAAAUUAAAAAAAAAUUCAUUGCAUGAAACUUUUCCAGAGCUACAAUGUGAAAUAAGUGAGCGAGAUGAUCUAAUUAAAAAUUGCCCUUUGAUAAACAACCAACAUUGCGACGGGCAGAGACGCAUAGCACUUGCAGAGAGAGGUGAAGUAGACCGCUUGCUUGUAUAUGAAACUUGUAAAAACUAUACUCAAAUACAGUUUUUAAAUCAAA